rnacentral:piRNA from 1 species
UAGAUGAACUCAUAGGCAUAGAGGAUCCUG